rfam:TPA: Bos taurus chromosome 2, whole genome shotgun sequence.
UCCCUGGUGGUCCAGUGGUUAAGACUCUGCACUUCCACUGCAGGAGUCAAGGGUUCUAUCCCUGGUCUGAGAA